rnacentral:lncRNA from 1 species
CCCGAAGCCCCAUCCAAGUGGGUUGUGAAUGAAGUAGGGCCGAGUUAGCCCCCUGGCCCCAAAACAUCAUUUUUGACCCAUUUUUUUCAGAACAAUCACUCCACUGAGCAUUUGACGGUCUCCCCUCAGCCUCGCCGCCCCUCCCUCCAUCUCCUCCGCUGUCUUCCCCGGACAUGCUGAACCCCGGAGGAAACCUCCGCCCUCAUCGACGCCUACCAUGACAAGUGGUCCUCCCUCGACCGCACCAACCUCAACCCCGGAGGAAACCUCAAAACCACACCGACACCACCACCAACCCCAACACCCCCACCAACAACCUCAAUUUCCCAGACGAAUUCCAACUCAAUCUCUAACACAAUAUAAUCUCGUGGGUUCAUCUUUAACGCAAUCUACUCUCGUGGCUCCAUCCCCUCCUAGAUCUACUCUCUAACUG